rnacentral:rRNA from 1 species
GACGAACGCUGGCGGCGUGCUUAACACAUGCAAGUCGAACGGAAAGGCCCUGCUUUUGUGGGGUGCUCGAGUGGCGAACGGGUGAGUAACACGUGAGUAACCUGCCCUUGACUUUGGGAUAACUUCAGGAAACUGGGGCUAAUACCGGAUAGGAGCUCCUGCUGCAUGGUGGGGGUUGGAAAGUUUCGGCGGUUGGGGAUGGACUCGCGGCUUAUCAGCUUGUUGGUGGGGUAGUGGCUUACCAAGGCUUUGACGGGUAGCCGGCCUGAGAGGGUGACCGGCCACAUUGGGACUGAGAUACGGCCCAGGCUCCUACGGGAGGCAGCAGUGGGGAAUAUUGCACAAUGGGCGGAAGCCUGAUGCAGCAACGCCGCGUGCGGGAUGACGGCCUUCGGGUUGUAAACCGCUUUCGCCUGCGACGAAGCGUGAGGGACGGUAAUGGGUAAAGAAGCACCGGCUAACUACGU